rnacentral:misc_RNA from 1 species
AACAAGAUGGAGUAAAUGUGAUAUCUGCAUAUCCAUGGAACUUUCAUUCUCAAACAUAUGAUUACCAAACUAAUACAAUACAAACUCAUCUUUUGAUAACUAACAGUUGUCUGUAUAAAGGAAAAAAGAAACAUUGGUGAAGAGUGCUGAGAAUACAUACAAACAAUUGUAAACUAAAUAAAUAUUUAUAAUGUCAUCCCCUAUAAAUUCCAUCAUAGAAAGAGAUUCAACAUGGUGUCUCUAGAGAAGUCCUAAGGUAGAAAAGUCCUAAAGUUGUCUUCUUUUUCUAAAGCAAGUGCUAAGAAAAAUACUGAUUCAUUCUGAACAUACAAAUUGUGACAAAGAUCAUGGAAAGUAAAUACCAUGCUUGAACUCCUGAAUUUAACCCAAUAUUCUCGUUUCUCCAAGUCAAGGGAUGUAAGCAAUGCUCUAAAAU